rnacentral:lncRNA from 1 species
AUGAGCAAGUUCAGAUGGACAUACAAUUCUUGUGAGCUGCUGUUCUCACCAGGUUCCUGUAUAAACUGGAAGCUCCCCUCAGAGUGUGAAAUGAAAGCGUACAGUUCCUCACUUCUGAAAUGGCAGAGAAGCAGGUAUCUGCCUGGAGGAAAUUAAGGGGAAGGAACUCUAGUAUGCAGCUUUUGCCUGCCAUGGGAUGAAGGUGCGUGGCUUACUUGGCUGGAACACGUGAAUAUUGCUAAUGUAGAAUAAAUCUCUGCUUAAGACAACA